rnacentral:rRNA from 1 species
AACGAACGCUGGCGGCAUGCCUAACACAUGCAAGUCGAACGAGACCUUCGGGUCUAGUGGCGCACGGGUGCGUAACGCGUGGGAACCUGCCCUUAGGUUCGGAAUAACUCCCCGAAAGGGGUGCUAAUACCGGAUAAUGUCUUCGGACCAAAGAUUUAUCGCCUUUGGAUGGGCCCGCGUUGGAUUAGCAAGUUGGUAGGGUAAAAGCCUACCAAGGCGACGAUCCAUAGCUGGUCUGAGAGGAUGAUCAGCCACACUGGGACUGAGGCACGGCCCAGACUCCUACGGGAGGCAGCAGUGGGGAAUAUUGGACAAUGGGCGAAAGCCUGAUCCAGCAAUGCCGCGUGAGUGAUGAAGGCCUUAGGGUUGUAAAGCUCUUUUACCCGGGAUGAUAAUGACAGUACCGGGAGAAUAAGCGCCGGCUAACUCCGUG